UUGGUUGCCGGGACGAAUCUACGGAAGAUGUAUUGAUAUAUAAUCGUCGAGGGUCGAGGAAUAUUCGAAACGACGUAGAAGUCACCGAGUUUUUAUCUAAGCAAUAUGGAGUGCAUGCAAAAGUGCUUUUCCCAAACCAGUUGUCUCCUGAGGAACAGAUUUGCGAGAUGACAAAGAGACGCAAAAUAAUCAUCACACCACACGGUGGGCAGCAGGGGUCCCUGAUAUUCAAACGAGCUGGGGUCGCCGUGGUGGUGAUAUCUCCUGAAGAGGCUUUGCUGGAGUGUUAUCGAUUUUUUUCACAUGAACAGGACCUCUGGUAUCAUGUUCGGGGAAAUGUGUCUUGG
rnacentral:lncRNA from 1 species